rnacentral:rRNA from 1 species
CCUACGGGGGGCAGCAGUGAGGAAUAUUGGUCAAUGGACGAGAGUCUGAACCAGCCAAGUAGCGUGAAGGAUGACUGCCCUAUGGGUUGUAAACUUCUUUUAUAAAGGAAUAAAACGAGGCACGUGUGCCUUUUUGCAUGUACCUUAUGAAUAAGGAUCGGCUAACUCCGUGCCAGCAGCCGCGGUAAUACGGAGGAUCCGAGCGUUAUCCGGAUUUAUUGGGUUUAAAGGGAGCGUAGAUGGGUUGUUAAGUCAGUUGUGAAAGUUUGCGGCUCAACCGUAAAAUUGCAAUUGAUACUGGCAGUCUUGAGUACAGUUGAGGUAGGCGGAAUUCGUGGUGUAGCGGUGAAAUGCUUAGAUAUCACGAAGAACCCCGAUUGCGAAGGCAGCUUACUAAACUGUGACUGACAUUGAUGCACGAAAGUGUGGGUAGCAAACAGGAUUAGAUACCCGUGUAGUC